AGAAGACAGCGCGCUAGCGUAUCUAGUCUAUGUAUAUCUAUGGUCGGCACGUCUGGUAGCAUCUCUGGCUGCUGUUGACCUUGUUUUUGGAGUAAAACACGAUGUUCAGAGGGAGAUGAUGCCACAUCUGGUCCAGCUGAUGGAAGGUCUUGAAGUUCUCUGACUGGCCUCGACUGAAGAUGGUCGUCUCACUGGAUUUAAGAUGCACAAUGAGGGACGUCUGCAGUGACUGAGAAAGAGUCUCACCACAUCCUGACAUGAGGAAAAAGACUUUAUUGAAGACUACAAUGAGAAAAACUAUCAGACAGCAGACGGCUGCAUUCAAGGUGAGCUCUGAACAUUUGAUCUGGAACAGGAAUUCAGUAACGGCAGCAUGAGCUUCAUUUCAGUCUGUAGCUGCUGAAUUCAUGGAUGAAUCAUCUGGCACUAGAGAGGAAGACCAUCAAAUAUCCACGUCAGCUGAUGGAGGUCCAAGAGUCUCACCCAACAACCAACCUACAGAGUGAAGACCUUGAAUCUGAUUGGACGGCCUCCUAUUCAGCCACAUUUUAGGCUGUUAGAUUGUUCCAGAUAAGACAAGUACAAGAUUCUUCAGAGCCGUUCUACCACGAGCCUGACAGGAAGAACUCUAACAGCUACUGAAUGUUCCUGUGGUUCCCUCAAGGCUACAGGAGGAGUCCUACGAGGACGAGCCGGUCCACCUGAUGGAGGCCAGUCGCUGCAGUUCAAAGCCAACACCGACUAUGUGGACUUCUACUGGACCACACGGAGGCCUUCAAACCGGACCAACAAGUUCAGCGACUCCCCGACUCGUGGGUCUGAGGACGCCGCCAAGCCUCGGUCCAGCCGGCCUCCUGUCUGGGUGUUUGAGUGCUGAGAGGUUUGUGGAUACAUGUGAACAUAUCUGUGUUGAAACAGCAGCUUUUGCCUCAGUAACGCCGAGAAAAACCAAGAGCUCCUUUAUUUGUGACUUCCACUAAAAAAACUGAUGAAAAUAAGUUUGCCAGGGUUCUGACUGAUAACAGAUUAUUAAAUAAUGAAAAUAAUCAUUUAAAUAUUCCUUUAAACAAUCGUUUUAGGUCUACAUUUCCUUUACACUGACUUCUUGGUAUUUUGGGUGGAAUAUACCAUUAAGCCCAAUGUUCAAGGGUUCUUCUGGGAAUAUACCAUUAAACCAUCCUUUUAGGUAAAUGUUCUAGGAUGUUGGGUAGAAUAUACCAUCAGAUCAACCUUUUAGGUCUACAGUGGAAGAUUUUAGAGUAGAAUAUUACUCCAAACCAUCCUUUAGGUCGACAUUUAAGGUGGAAUACUCCUUUAAACCAAGAUUUUUUUGGUCGACAUUGAAAGAUUUUAGGUGGAAUAUUCCUUUGAAUGAACUUUUUAAGUUUAUGUUAAAGAAUGUUGGGUGGAAUAUACCAUCAGACCAACCUCCAAGGUCUACAGUAGUGAAUUUUAGGUGGAAUAUACCAUUAAACUCACCUUUUAGGUCUACAUUGGAGGAUUUUAGGUGGAAUUUUCUUCCAAACCGUCUUUUAGUCUACAUUUAAGGAUGUUUAGGAUGGUAUAUUCUUCCGAACCAACUUCUCAGGUCUACAUUUCAGGUGGAAUAUUCCUCCAUACUAACUUUUUUGGUCUACAUUGAAGGAUUUUUUCUAAACCACCCUUUCGGGUCUAUAUUUGAGGUUUUAGGUGGAAUAUUCCUUUUAACCAGCCCUUCAAGUCUCUUUGAGGAUUCUGGAUGGACUCCGCGGUUAAACCAACAUUUUAGGUGCAUGUCCAAGGAUUUUUGGUGGAAUGUUUCUUUAAGGUUGAUGUUUGAGGACCUUGUAGGUGGAAUACUUCCUGAAACCAACCUUUUAGGUCAACAUUCAAAGAUUUAAGGUGAAAUAUUCCUUUAAAUCAACCUAAAUUUCAUGUUUUGAUCAUUAUCAAGUGAGAAACCUCAAUCCAGACUCCUCAUAAUGACGUUUGAGAUUUAUGCUGCUGUUAUUUGUUUAGUCCAGACUAAAUGACAGAAAUCCACAACUGUAAUUUUAUUUCAGGACUCGGUUAUUAAAUGUCAAAACAAUCCAUGUGACUCUAAAAACUCAACAGCUUUACAAAC
ensembl:lncRNA